AGAGAGAGACAUGCGCGCAUAUCAAUAAGCGGAGGAAAAGAAACUAACAAGGAUUCCCUUAGUAACGGCGAGUGAAGCGGGAAGAGCUCAAAUUUGAAAUCUUCAAGGUUUUACCUUGACGAAUUGUAGUUUAAAGAAGUGUUUUCUGCUGAAGUUUUGGUAAAAGUUCUUUGGAAUAGGACAUCAUAGAGGGUGAGAAUCCCGUAUUUGACCAUUAUUUUCAGCUUUGUGAUACACUUUCAAAGAGUCGGAUUGUUUGGGAAUGCAGUCCAAAAUGGGUGGUAAAUUUCAUCUAAAGCUAAAUAUUGGCGAGAGACCGAUAGCGAACAAGUACCGUGAGGGAAAGAUGAAAAGAACUUUGAAAAGAGAGUUAAACAGUACGUGAAAUUGUCAAAAGGGAAGCGUUUGACACCAGUGUUGUUUUCUCCGAAAAUCAAUUAAAAAUGGCUCGAUUUUGUAUUGCUGAGACCUUAAAAGCUCACUGUACAUUUUUCGUGUCUUUUUUAAUGCACUUUUCGUUUAACAAGUCAACAUCAGUUUCUUUUGUUGUGAAAGGGUCAUUGGAAGGUGGCUUUCCUUUCGGAGAAAGUGUUUAUAGCCUUUGGCCUCUGCAAUCGGAGAGACUGAGGUCUGCAGCGUAGACUCUUCGGGGUUAGGAUACAUUUGUGCUAAGUUAUAGCUUUUUAUAGACAACUUGUUGACUAUAAUUAGUCUUGUAGCUUACUCGCUUAUGCUAUUUUACCUACGCUUAGGAUGUUGAAGUCAUCGUAUCGCGC
rnacentral:rRNA from 1 species